GAGUUUGAUCGUGGCUCAGGACGAACGCUGGCGGCGCGCCUAACACAUGCAAGUCGAACGAGCAAGAGAGAGCUUGCUUUCUCGAGCGAGUGGCGAACGGGUGAGUAACGCGUGAGGAACCUGCCUCAAAGAGGGGGACAACAGUUGGAAACGACUGCUAAUACCGCAUAAGCCCACGACCCGGCAUCGGGUUGAGGGAAAAGGAGCAAUCCGCUUUGAGAUGGCCUCGCGUCCGAUUAGCUAGUUGGUGAGGUAACGGCCCACCAAGGCGACGAUCGGUAGCCGGACUGAGAGGUUGAACGGCCACAUUGGGACUGAGACACGGCCCAGACUCCUACGGGAGGCAGCAGUGGGGGAUAUUGCACAAUGGGGGAACCCUGAUGCAGCGACGCCGCGUGUAGGAAGACGGUCCUCUGGAUUGUAAACUACUGUCUUCAGGGACGAUAAUGACGGUACCUGAGGAGGAAGCUCCGGCUAACUACGUGCCAGCCGCCGCCGU
rnacentral:rRNA from 1 species